CACGUAGGCACCAAGCGUUGUCCGGAUUUACUGGGCGUAAAGCGCGCGCAGGCGGCAUGGUAAGUCAGGUGUGAAAUCCAUCUGCUCAACGGGUGGGGUGCAUUUUAGACUGCCAAGCUUGAGGUCGGUAGAGGGGGGUAGAAUUGCUGGUGUAGCGGUGAAAUGCGUAGAGAUCAGCAGGAAUACCCGUGGCGAAGGCGGCCCCCUGGGCCGUACCUGACGCUGAGGCGCGAAGGCUAGGGGAGCGAACGGG
rnacentral:rRNA from 1 species